rnacentral:rRNA from 1 species
UACGAAGGGGGCUAGCGUUGCUCGGAGUCACUGGGCGUAAAGCGCACGUAGGCGGAUUGCUAAGUCAGGGGUGAAAUCCUGGAGCUCAACUCCAGAACUGCCUUUGAUACUGGCGAUCUUGAGUCCGGGAGAGGUGAGUGGAACUGCGAGUGUAGAGGUGAAAUUCGUAGAUAUUCGCAAGAACACCAGUGGCGAAGGCGGCUCACUGGCCCGGUACUGACGCUGAGGUGCGAAAGCGUGGGGAGCAAACAGG